rnacentral:rRNA from 1 species
UACGGAGGGUGCAAGCGUUUAUCCGGAUUCACUGGGUUUAAAGGGUGCGUAGGCGGGCAGGUAAGUCCGUGGUGAAAUCUCUGAGCUUAACUCAGAAACUGCCAUGGAUACUAUUUGUCUUGAAUACCGUGGGAGAUGAGCGGAAUAUGUCAUGUAGCGGUGAAAUGCUUAGAUAUGACAUAGAACACCAAUUGCGAAGGCAGCUCGUUACACGAAUAUUGACUCUGAGGCACGAAAGCGUGGGGAUCAAACAGG